CCGCGCCUUCGUGGGUGUUGCUAGGGCAGCUGGCACCUCCUUUCCCCCCGCAUCCCUUCACCACCCUGACCCCUCUUCAUUCCUUGUCUUCCGGUGUCUUCCCCGAGUGCUGCCGAGGCUUCCCCAGCAUGGGGGCGUGUGUGCAUGAGAGAAGGGGUGGGGACCAAGCCCCAGAGCAGACAAGGGAUUCAGUUUCUCUGGCCCCACCUCUUUGGCCCGGAUUCUAAUGGGCCUGCGCUUCGGGUAGAGGCCAGAUCCCACCCCCUACCCUCCUUGAUGUUCCCAGAAGGACCAGGUGACCACCGAACAGUUGCCUUGGUGCUUCAUUUGGCCUUAGCUGGACGACUCUGGACCCUUUCUGGGGGGGAUCACUUCCCGUCUGCACCUAAGAGAGAAAGUGAGUCAUAUAUAGUCCAAAUUUUAAAAGAAAGAAUUGAACAGAGGACAGCAAAGCAAGGCAGUCCAGGGCACUGGUUCUGA
rnacentral:lncRNA from 1 species